rnacentral:tRNA from 1 species
CGGGGUGUAGCGAAGCCUGGUUAUCGCACGUGCUUUGGGAGCACGAGACCGUCGGUUCGAAUCCGACCACCCCGACCA